rnacentral:rRNA from 1 species
AUUGAACGCUGGCGGCAGGCUUAACACAUGCAAUGCGAGCGGAGAGAAGUAGCUAGCUACUGAUCUUAGCGGCGGACGGGUGAGUAAUGCCUAGGAAUCUGCCUAUUAGUGGGGGCCCACCCUUCGAAAGGAAUGCUAAUACCGCAUACGUCCUACGGGAGAAAGCAGGGGAUCUUCGGACCUAGCACUAAUAGAUGAUCCUAAGUCGGAUUAGAUAGUUGGUGGGGUAAAGGCCUACCAAGGCGACGAUCUGUAGCGGGUCUGAGAGGAUGAGCCGCCACACUGGGACUGAGACACGGCCCAGACUCCUACGGGAGGCAGCAGUGGGGAAUAUUGGACAAUGGGCGGAAGCCUGAUCCAGCCAUGCCGCGUGUGUGAAGAAGGCCUUAUGGUUGUAAAGCACUUUAAGCGAGGAGGAGGCUACUUUAGUUAAUACCUAGAGAUAGUGGACGUUACUCGCAGAAUAAGCACCGGCUAACUCUGUGCCAGCCGCCGCUGUAAAAC